UAUGGCCACAUCACAUUGGAACACUGGUUCCCCUACAACCACUGAAAUUAAGCAACAUUGAGUCUGGUCAGUAUCUAGAUGGGUGACUGCUUUGGAAUUCUAGGUGCUGUAAG